GUGCCAAAAGCUUCAUAAGUCAGUGAUGGCUCUUGUAGCCUGAACUGUUGAAGCCUUUUGGAAGAGCAAAGACCACGACUCCACUAUGGACUGCACAGUUGUAGUUCAUAACUAACAAUGUGGCUGACAAA
rnacentral:snoRNA from 1 species